rnacentral:rRNA from 1 species
UACGGAGGGUGCAAGCGUUGUCCGGAUUUAUUGGGCUUAAAGGGUGCGUAGGCGGCAGAUUAAGUCAGCGGUGAAAUUCCACAGCUCAACUGUGGAACUGCCAUUGAUACUGGUUUGCUUGAGUACAGAUGAGGUAGGCGGAAUUGACAGUGUAGCGGUGAAAUGCUUAGAUAUUGUCAAGAACACCUAUUGCGAAGGCAGCUUACUAAGCUGUAACUGACGCUGAGGCACGAAAGCGUGGGGAUCAAACAGG